AUUUUCAUAUUAUCUUAAUUAGUAUUAUAGCUAAUCUUUAUUAAUAAAAUUAAUUAAUUAAUGUUUUAUUAUUGUCUAAGUGCAAGUAAUUCAAGAGAUUCAAUAAUGCUGGGUUUCAGCCCAAUGCCUGUCAGCUCGAGCUCAACAAAUUCUCCAGUGUCCGUGAUGAGGCGACUCAACAGUUCCUAACCUAAAAUUCCCAUGUAUCUACAUCAACGGGCUGAAGCAAGUGAUUUCCCAACAUCUUCAAGUGUCCCCGAGCCGUCUCGAGAGUCCCAAAGCAAUUCAAUUGCUUCUCAAACCAAGUAUCCGUUUCCCAGCAAC
rnacentral:lncRNA from 1 species